GACAGAGGGUGCAAACGUUGUUCGGAAUUACUGGGCGUAAAGCGUGUGUAGGCGGCUUUGCAAGUCGGAUGUGAAAGCCCCGGGCUCAACCCGGGAAGUGCACUCGAUACUGCAGGGCUUGAGUAUCGGAGAGGUUGGUGGAAUUCUCGGUGUAGAGGUGAAAUUCGUAGAUAUCGAGAGGAACACCGGCGGCGAAGGCGGCCAACUGGACGAAUACUGACGCUGAGAACACGAAAGCGUGGGGAGCAAACAGG
rnacentral:rRNA from 1 species